UGUUACAAAUUUUUAGGAAAA
rnacentral:piRNA from 1 species